UCUUUCUGUGGCUGACGCGAGCGCCUCAGGAGGCACUGCACCCAUCGUCACCACCACACCAAACCCCACAGCGGCUCCUCCGCAGUCGCCCGCAUCCCUUUCCCCCGACCCCGCAGCUGCCCUCCUCCUCCAUCCUCUCGCGCCCCCUCCCACAUCUCAUCCAGCCCCCUUCCCGCUCAUCCCUGAAUGGACCCGAGACGUGCGGGCAGCGGAGGCGAAGGGCGACGGCGUCAUCGACCUGCAGGCGAAGGGCGACGGCGGCGGCGCUUGAUUUGAGGCUGCGUCAUGUAUCGGCCCCUGCUGAGUGACAAGAUUGCUGGACUGCCGCCAUCUCACCUCGCCCCACCAGCUUCCACCGCCAUGGAUCCGCCGGAGAUGGAGGGCAACGAGUGAGAGGGAGCAGGAGAAGAUGUGAAUCGAGGGAGUGCAAGAAGAAGUUCACACGGGAAGGGGAAGAGGGAGUCUUGCGGCGUAUCCUCGUCUCAUCCCGGCUGCAGAUCUUUUGACGCCAUGGAGCCAGCCGCUCUUGCUCGAUGCCACGAUACACAACACCAAGAUUCCUUCCUUUUACAGUUCCUUUUCGACUUGCUGUUCAUCACGUCGAUGGCUUCCAUGGAGCAGAGGAAAGUAUGCCAUCUUCCUCUAGGCAGAUAGCUGGACGGCCAGGAGCUGUCGUCCUGCUACCCUAUGCCAAUGGAUGCGCCUCCCAGAUGGCUAGCAAUGCCAGAUCCAGCUGGAAAGGACUCUACGGGGGUGAGAGGUGGAUAACAAUAGCAAGAAGGAGCAUGCCAUCGAGGAGUGCAAGCAGCGGCACUCCUCCGCAAUGGGGUAUGGCUGCAGGGGAGGGGACACGGCCAACGACAGGAAGAAGGAGCAAGUCGUCGAGGAGUACAAGCAGCAGGAUUAUUUUUGGCCCAUACAGUUUCCUGUGACUGGAAGUCUGAAAAUGAAGAUAGGGCAUAUUGUUUUGGUUCUGUGGCCGGAGAUAUUGUGGCUUGAUUUCCCUAGAGCAAUCGGACCCUUCCAAGAUAGCAGAAGAUAUUUGGGAUUGACGUUCUGAUGAGAAAGUAGCGUACGGAUGGAUGGACAAUUGGACAUGAGCUAUCCAGUGUAGGUUCAAACAAUUCAUUCAUUCAUUGCAGGUUCAACAUGUUUCAUUAUGUAUUUUUGCUUCAUAUUUAGGGUUGAGUUGGGCUAUAUUUCUUUCAUUGAGGCGAGGGUGAAUCCAGUAGGUGAGGUGCAUUUUAGACAUCCGGAUGCCUUGCUAUGUUUAGGCGUACUCGCCUUUUUUCUUGAAGUUGGGCGUCCGUUGUCUAUGCGGCAAGGUGAGCUUAUCCCAUUUACUUUGGUCAAUCCAGAGCCAAGAUUCAUAUCCCCUUCACCGUCAUUUCAUUUGUGAGCAUUUAUUCCAUUGCUCUAUGUUGUCGGCAUCCUGACAGUUUAGAUGUUUCUGCGGAUCACAAUUGCUUCUGAACACACCGGCCCAUCUCAUUGAGGAAAUUCCCCUGCUCCGCUUAAUUAAAAAUAAUGUGAAAUAUGUUUCUACCAAAACUAAUUACAAUUUAUUCUUUUUAGUUUCUACUGAUUUUCAGUAUGAAAUAUUGGGGCCCGAGUACUUCAGUUCAUUUCACAGUGGAUAUGGCACACACAUGUAUCAUUGCUGUUAUCGUAAUUGAUACCAACACCUUGACUGAAUCGCAUAGAAUAGACUGCCCUGAUAAUUCUUGCAGUCCUAAAAUGGUUUCUCAAAACAUGGGAAAAUUUACAUUCUAAAAACUGUAGGCACAUUGGGUGAAGCAUAUAUAUAAUUCUAUUAUAACAGAGGUCACACACACACAAUAUAUAAUUCUCUAUAUGCAAAUUGUUAUAAUAUGAUUUUAUUAGAAUAGAGGUCAGGUACUACUGCCACGACGUAACAAGGAAGGUGUGACACCCAUUUUUAUAUAUAUUGUGAUUUCAGUUUUCAUCAAUGUCGCUAUUAUUAUUAUUAUUAUUAUCUCUUUGUAGCUUCAUAUAAAAUCAGUACUGACAUGGUCAUUUUACAGAGUGUAAAAAUGGUAGGUGGUAGAAUCAUAACCUAGGACUGAGUGCCUUAAGAAGUUCCUUUCAUUAUCGUUAAAUAAUAUAAUGUUUAGGGCCAGUUUAGAUGCGUCGUCAGAAAAUAUGAGUAAAAUCAGUGAAUAUUGUGCAUUGCCUUGGUGUUUGGUGUGUCUAUUGCAUAAUCCUUUUCUUUUUUGCUUCUCUUUCCAAAGCAAGGACCAGGCUGGGAACAUAUGUUUAUAAUGAAGUUCUUUCACUGCAGCUACAUAGUAUCUUAGCUAGGUAUCUCUGUGCAAGUGUAGUUUGCCUGCAGGUUGGACAUGUGUUUGAAUAUAAUCCUUUUCUUGCUUCUCUUUUCAAAGCAAGGACCAGUCUGAGAACAUAUGUUUAUAAUGAAGUUAUUUCAUUGUAGUCUGCAUAGUAUCUUAGCUAGGUCUCUCCAGCAUGCUACCACAAAAGCGGAGCCAUGAUGUUAUGCCUAUAUCUGCAUCGUCUAUCAGUCCUAGAAGUUCUGAUCUUCGUCUACCGUUAAACCGAGUUCAUCUGUCUGGGUAUGGCUGCACAACUUUUUAUGUAAUUGGACAUUAAAAAGUAGAGAAUUUGGUUGUACUGCAUCUGCCAAAGCACUAUUGAAACAAUGAAUGUCAGCUAUGUUAUGAGCCGAACCAUAUUAAGUAUGUGCAUCCUGGGUGGAAUGCUUUCUGUUCA